AGCAGCUGGACUCUCGGAUGCCCCAGAUCCCCUGACGCCCUGGAAGAGAGCUCACCAUCGUUCCGAAUCGCACCCGCCUCCUGUGGCGCAGCCUUGCUGCGCUCUGUUCUUCUGGUUGAGUGUGGACCUGUGUGCGGAUUUGUGCUUGUGGAAGAAACAGCCCCCCCAUUUUAAAGGUGCAUGUUGGCCAAGGAGGUGAACUUCGCUGGAUUGUAGCUCCACGGGCUGGGUUGAGAAAGACAGCUGGCUUCCAUUUCCGAAGGAGUUUUUGUACCACCAACACAUCGGUCUGUUCUUAGUCGCAGCGUUCUACGUUUAAUUGGCUGCACUUAAAGUGUCUGAUCUCGAAGAACAAUGGAGAAGCGCAUUACAAUGGGUGCAAUCAAACCAGUGGCUCACAGUUCCAUUCCAAAGGGGAAAUCUGUGCACGAUUCCACUUAAUGUGCUGCACUCAGAAUGUUGAAUCCUGGGAAGGAUGGUGGUUAUGCAGUCACUUAAAAUCUGAGGCUUCACAGACGUUUCGUGGUUUGAGAAUACGACUCACGGCGAUGAGGGGAAAGCAGAUCACAGACCUGUUUGGGAACAAACCCAAAGAAAAAGUUGGAGACUUGGAGGCGAUGGCCGCGGACAGGAGCGAGCUGGGACGAUGCAGGGCGUCCGUGUCUCUCCUCUCUGUGCUGGGCGGGGCGUGCACAC